rnacentral:lncRNA from 1 species
ACCUACCUGGUCCACCUCUCUCAGAGACAACGUCAUCCUGGUGCAGCUGCCUUCCUCCGUCAGGCCUAGGUCUCUCCUCGUAGGAGAACUCUUGCCCCUGAAGUGGCCCUCUGUCAGGGUGUGGUCCUCCUCCUCUCAAGAAGCCUUUGCCCCUGAAGUAGCUCCACAAGCCAGACCUGGCUUCUGGCCUCCUUCAGAGAACACGUCAUCAUCGGUGCAGUAGCUCCCCUGUCAGGCCUUGUUGUCCUCUCUUCAGAGACACGUCAUCAUGGUGCAGUAGCUCCUCUGUCAGGCCUUGUUGUCCUCUCCUCAGAGACACAUCAUGGUGCCGUUGGUGUGGGAGCUGUGCCAUGUUCCAGGCUGCGCUGCUCACUGUGGUGCUGUCGGCUGCAAAAGGUGGAAAUAUAAUAAUUGUGAAAUUACUUUAGGUAAAGU